CACGUAGGGUGCGAGCGUUGUCCGGAAUUAUUGGGCGUAAAGAGCUCGUAGGCGGUGUGUCGCGUCGGCCGUGAAAACCUGCAGCUUAACUGUGGGCUUGCGGUCGAUACGGGCAUCACUGGAGUUCGGCAGGGGAGACUGGAAUUCCUGGUGUAGCGGUGAAAUGCGCAGAUAUCAGGAGGAACACCGAUGGCGAAGGCAGGUCUCUGGGCAUUAACUGAC
rnacentral:rRNA from 1 species